UACGAAGGGGGCUAGCGUUGUUCGGAAUCACUGGGCGUAAAGCGUACGUAGGCGGACCGUUAAGUCGGGGGUGAAAUCCCAGGGCUCAACCCUGGAACUGCCUUCGAUACUGGCGGUCUGGAGUCCGGGAGAGGUGGGUGGAACUCCUAGUGUAGAGGUGAAAUUCGUAGAUAUUAGGAAGAACACCAGUGGCGAAGGCGGCUCACUGGCCCGGUACUGACGCUGAGGUACGAAAGCGUGGGGAGCAAACAGG
rnacentral:rRNA from 1 species